AACGAACGCUGGCGGCAUGCCUAACACAUGCCAGUCGAACGAGACCUUCGGGUCUAGUGGCGCACGGGUGCGUAACGCGUGGGAACCUGCCCUUAGGUUCGGAAUAACUCCCCGAAAGGGGUGCUAAUACCGGAUAAUGUCUUCGGACCAAAGAUUUAUCGCCUUUGGAUGGGCCCGCGUUGGAUUAGCUAGUUGGUAGGGUAAAAGCCUACCAAGGCGACGAUCCAUAGCUGGUCUGAGAGGAUGAUCAGCCACACUGGGACUGAGACACGGCCCAGACUCCUACGGGGGGAAGGAGUGGGGAAAUUUGGCAAUGGGGCGAAAGCCUGCUCCACCAAUGCCGGGUGAGUGAUGAAGGCCUUGGGGUUUUAAAGCUCUUUUCCCCGGGAUGAUAAUGACAGUACCGGGAAAAAAAGCCCCGGCAACCCCCGU
rnacentral:rRNA from 1 species